UCCUUGAGCGAAAUGAGUCACUGGCUCAUCCAGUUAAGAUCAUCACCCACUUUCCCAACAAAACUUCUCUUCAAAGAAGGACUCGCUCAUCCAUCAGGUGGACCUCCACAGGAACAAAUCAUAUCCAUGUCAGGCGGCACCAAACCUAAAUCUGCUUCUGCCUCAGCAGACAGGACAUGUGUUCCCAAGAGAACUACACAAACAAUGACUGAAUGAAGAGCAAAUAAUUAUUACAUUAACAAUUGUCUAAGUACUCUAUUUUCUAAUGCAAGACCAUCUUCCACAAGAAGCCCUUCAUUGACCUGCUCAGAUGAACUCAGCUAUGUGACCUGCAAGUUUAUUCUUCCACUUAUUACACUUACUUUAUCACUAUUUGUUCAGUGACUUCCCCAGGAGCAAUUAAAGCAGAAACCAUGCAUGUCUUAUUUGUUCAGUAUUCUGUCCUAAUAUCCUGGCAAGUAUAUGUCAUAGAGCUACUAUUUAUUGAUUCUUAACUAGUAUAAGAGUUAGAUGUCUAAAAUGUGACUCCACCUACAUGACA